AAGGUAAUGAAAAAGCCAAGCUGGGAAGGCAGGCUGGUGACAAGUAUGGUCCCUGCGCAUUCCUCGGGCUGACGGCCAUUUCAAUUUAAGAAAACAAAAGAUGAUCCUGUGAACACUGUAUCAGGCAUCAUUACUGGACUGAAAAAAGGAUCACUUGAUGGACAUGCCUGGCGUUUUGUUUAGUAUUUCUUCUCUGGCCUUAGAAGAUUAGUUUUCAAAGCGAUGGUAAAAUCAUUGAUGUAUGUCUUUUCAAGAAAAAGAAAAAAAAAAGACUCCUAAAUGCCAAACAUUUGCUCUUUGGAGCAUAGCAAGAAGAAAGGGAGAGGACCAGACGGCCACAUCCUAAGAACAGAGUAUUGUCCAGAAUCAAUGGUAUAGUGGACAAAGAGUAGGUCUAAG
rnacentral:lncRNA from 10 species